rnacentral:rRNA from 1 species
GCUGCCACAGCACGCUGAAUGUGCGUGCCUCAUCUGAUGUCACAAGCUAAGCAGGCUCAGGCCUGGUUAGUAGCUGGAUGGGAGACCGCCCAGGAACAGCGAGUGUUCAAAACA